CAGCCGCCGCGGUAAUACGUAGGGUGCAAGCAUUAAUCGGAAUUACUGGGCGUAAAGCGUGCGCAGGCGGUUAUAUAAGUCAGAUGUGAAAUCCCCGGGCUCAACCUGGGAACUGCAUUUGAGACUGUAUGGCUAGAGUGUGUCAGAGGGGGGUAGAAUUCCACGUGUAGCAGUGAAAUGCGUAGGUAUGCGGAGGAACACCGAUGGCGAAGGCAAUCCCCUGGACCUGUACUGACGCUCAUGCACGAAAGCGUGGGGAGCAAACAGGAUUAGAUACCCGUGUAGUCCCUGUCUCUUAUAC
rnacentral:rRNA from 1 species